GAUGUGGACAGGACUGGCAGAUCAAGAGCCUUUUCUUGAUUAUGUGGACGAUGGUGCAUGGCCGCUCUUAGCAAAUGGAGCGAUUUGUCUGGUUAACCCCGAUAACAAAGGAUACUCAGCUCCAUUAAGCAAGUGCGGGCAUCCCGGCAUUUGCGCUUAUCAACUUACUCUUAGCCGCAUGUCUUAGCGGUACGAGCGGCCCCUAUAGCCGCACCAGACAGCAGUAAGAUGUCUGUGAUAACCUUAGAU
rnacentral:rRNA from 1 species